CAACUACACACUCCAACUUUACGGGUGUCCUAUUACCCACCUGAACUUUAUAAUUCUCUAUUUUAUACACACCUAAGUGCUGACCUGUCAUGGAAGGUGUUCUCACCUUCUCUAGGCGCGUUAGAAGGUGAAUUUUGACGAAAAUUUUCGAGAAAAUAGUCAUCUUCCCCAAUUAAUCAAUGAAAGGAUUCAAUUUCAAUUGACCUCCAUUAAUGGCAUUGCUAGUGCUUUCGUUUGUUCUCCCUCUUUUGCUGCUCGACCAUCAGCCACCGCUGUCGCCGCCUCCGGCGAAAUCCAAACCCGAUUGAAUUUGAUUUUUUUUUGUUCGUCCUUAUGAUUGAAGUUUUUAUUCUUCCAAUUACUGGAUUCAAAGCUCUUUCUGCCGAGUUUUGCCAUGGUUUCGAUCAUGUAUCGAAAUAAGAAAAAAAAAAUUGAUCAGUUUGAGUUAAUUGUCAAAACACAUUGAUUUUUUUUAAUUUCAUACUUACACUUUUUUUAAACUAUCAGCAAUUGUUUCUCGAAACACAUCUCAAUUAUCAAUAGUUUAGUUUUCUAUAUUAAACUCUUAUGUGUUUUCGACCUUUCACUCAAAUUUGCAAUUUUUUGUUAAAAUUUGGGCUUUUUUCUAUAUUCAAAAUCGAGAAAAUGGUCUAAAACCCCCCCAACCUAUACCCGAAAUCCCAACUACACACUCCAACUUUACGGGUGUCCUAUUACCCACCUGAACUUUAUAAUUCUCUAUUUUAUACACACCUAAGUGCUGACCUGUCAUGGAAGGUGUUCUCACCUUUUCUAGGCGCGUUAGAAGGUGAAUUUUGACGAAAAUUUCCGAGAAAAUAGUCAUCUUCCCCAAUUAAUCAAUGAAAGGAUUCAAUCUCAAUUGACCUCCAUUAAUGGCAUUGCUGGUGCUUUCGUUUGUUCUCCCUCUUUUGCUACUCGACCAUCAGCCACCACUGUCACCGCCUCCGGCGAAAUCCAAACCACCAACAAAGCCUCGUUCUCCUCUUCCUCUCUCCUCUUAUCUCUCUCCCAUUUCGAGACAACCACCAUAAAGACCUACCUCUAUUCUCACAACAAGAUUGAC
rnacentral:lncRNA from 1 species